rnacentral:rRNA from 1 species
GGCUAACUACGUGCCAGCAGCCGCGGUCAUACGUAGGACCCAAGCGUUAUCCGGAGUGACUGGGCGUAAAGAGUUGCGUAGGUGGUUUGCAAAGCGAAUAGUGAAAUCUGGGGGCUCAACCUCACAGGCUAUUAUUCGAACUCGCAAACUCGAGAGUGGUAGAGGUAACUGGAAUUUCUAGUGUAGGAGUGAAAUCCGUAGAUAUUAGAAGGAACACCAAUGGCGUAGGCAGGUUACUGGACCAUUUCUGACACUGAGGCACGAAAGCGUGGGGAGCGAACCGGAUUAGAUACCCGGGUAGUCCACGCCGUAAACUAUGGAUACUAGCUGUUGGAGGUAUCGACCCCUCCAGUAGCGAAGCUAACGCGUUAAGUAUCCCGCCUGUGGAGUACGGCCGCAAGGCUAAAACAUAAAGGAAUUGACGGGGACCCGCACAAGCGGUGGAUCGUGUUCUUUAAUUCGAUGCUAAACGAAGAACCUUACCAGGGCUUGACAUCUAGGGAAUUUUUGGGAAACCAAUUAGUGCCUUUUGGAACCCUAUGACAGGUGAUGCAUGGCCGUCGUCAGCUCGUGUCGUGAGAUGUUUGGUUAAGUCCAUCAACGAGCGCAACCCUUGUACUUAGUUGUAUUUUUCUAAGUAGACUGCCCCGGUAACGGGGAGGAAGGAGGGGAUGAUGUCAGGUCAGUAUUUCCCUUACGUCCUGGGCUAGAAACACGAUACAAUGGCAAGUACAAUGCGCAGCGGAGCCGCGAGGUGGAGCAAAUCGCAUCAAAGCUUGUCCCAGUUCGGAUUGGAGGCUGAAACUCGCCUCCAUGAAGUCGGAAUCGCUAGUAAUCGCAGAUCAGCAAGUUGCGGUGAAUACGUUCCCGGGUCUUGUACACACCGCCCGU